UUGUGAGGUUAAGCGACUAAGCGUACACGGUGGAUGCCCUGGCAGUCAGAGGCGAUGAAGGACGUGCUAAUCUGCGAUAAGCGUCGGUGAGGUGAUAUGAACCGUUAUAACCGGCGAUUUCCGAAUGGGGAAACCCAGUGUGUUUCGACACACUAUCAUUAACUGAAUCCAUAGGUUAAUGAGGCGAACCGGGGGAACUGAAACAUCUAAGUACCCCGAGGAAAAGAAAUCAACCGAGAUUCCCCCAGUAGCGGCGAGCGAACGGGGAGGAGCCCAGAGCCUGAAUCAGUGUGUGUGUUAGUGGAAGCGUCUGGAAAGGCGCGCGAUACAGGGUGACAGCCCCGUACACAAAAAUGCACAUAUUGUGAGCUCGAUGAGUAGGGCGGGACACGUGGUAUCCUGUCUGAAUAUGGGGGGACCAUCCUCCAAGGCUAAAUACUCCUGACUGACCGAUAGUGAACCAGUACCGUGAGGGAAAGGCGAAAAGAACCCCGGCGAGGGGAGUGAAAAAGAACCUGAAACCGUGUACGUACAAGCAGUGGGAGCCUCUUAAUGGGGUGACUGCGUACCUUUUGUAUAAUGGGUCAGCGACUUAUAUUCUGUAGCAAGGUUAACCGAAUAGGGGAGCCGAAGGGAAACCGAGUCUUAACUGGGCGUUAAGUUGCAGGGUAUAGACCCGAAACCCGGUGAUCUAGCCAUGGGCAGGUUGAAGGUUGGGUAACACUAACUGGAGGACCGAACCGACUAAUGUUGAAAAAUUAGCGGAUGACUUGUGGCUGGGGGUGAAAGGCCAAUCAAACCGGGAGAUAGCUGGUUCUCCCCGAAAGCUAUUUAGGUAGCGCCUCGUGAAUUCAUCUCCGGGGGUAGAGCACUGUUUCGGCAAGGGGGUCAUCCCGACUUACCAACCCGAUGCAAACUGCGAAUACCGGAGAAUGUUAUCACGGGAGACACACGGCGGGUGCUAACGUCCGUCGUGAAGAGGGAAACAACCCAGACCGCCAGCUAAGGUCCCAAAGUCAUGGUUAAGUGGGAAACGAUGUGGGAAGGCCCAGACAGCCAGGAUGUUGGCUUAGAAGCAGCCAUCAUUUAAAGAAAGCGUAAUAGCUCACUGGUCGAGUCGGCCUGCGCGGAAGAUGUAACGGGGCUAAACCAUGCACCGAAGCUGCGGCAG
rnacentral:rRNA from 1 species